AGUAUGGGAAAAAAUGUCACUUUUCCUUGAGGAAUAAUUGAACGGAAUAUUUUUCCGCAAGGAAAAGUGACAGCUCCAUUUGAUUUGCCCGGCAGGCGUUACGAGCGUUACACAAUUUUCAUUUCUUUCCAGCUGCGGACCGCUCAAGAAAUUUUAACAGCGAAAUCAUUUCUUGACCGUUCCUUGGCCUAUCUUUUUCCACAGUACUUAUCAGGUGCGUACUACCCUUUACCCUUUAAGGAAUAAAAAGUACCCUUUUUUUGCUAGUAUAUGAAACUGUCAAAAUAAAGGGUACUUGUCAAAUUUUGAAAAUGGGUAAAUUUUGCCCUUAUUACAAUUCCAACCGAGUACUCUUCAAUGAGUGAAAAUUUUGUUAAGCAUUUUCGAGGUGCAUCCAGUGCUGAUGUAAGUGAUUUUGCUGAUUUUUGCGGGAUGUCGGUGGCUCCGAGAGUGGCCUUCCUUUUGACCUCCACCUGGAUCAAAGUUGGGCCCAGGAUUCCUUCAACCAGGCGCGGGAAUAUAAGUUGUCCGUGCCCGACUGGCAAAGUCCACAUCAAUAAAUUAACAUCAAAAGGAAAAAUAACAAAAAUUAAUAAAACGUUUGCAAAAAAGUA